AUACAUGACAUUCUAAGGGGCAUCAAGAAAAAUUCUUCAACAAGCAUUCUGCAAUUCGAGAAAGCUACGCCACGCCAUCAACUACAUAACUCUUUGAAGGAGUGAUCAACAGAGUUUUUUUUGGAGAUCGACUUGAAACGACAAAUUGUUUUUUGACGUCCUGGAGAUCGAUAACAUCUUAAGGAGCUCUACAUCAUCCAAUAAUUCGAGAAGCGCGCUACUGAAGGCCCUUAAAUCACGAAUCAAGAGAACAAUGAAAUUAUACUCACAUCAUUUCAUUAAUAAAAUCACAUUUUUCUUUUAUUUAUUUUACUUGUUGUUGAUUUUCGAUGCUUAAGAAAAUUUGUUGUGAACAGCACUAUGGGCAUAUCGAUUCCAAUUCUCAAUAAUAUAAUUACAGCUGAAUAUAAUGUGAUUUUCUAAUUAAGGCUUUUGCAGCUGGGCUAGUUUUGGCUAUGAGAUAUGUUCACAUACUGCCGAUGCAUUUGAGAUCUUGCUUCCGGAAAAAACUUAUAUAUAGUGAUGAAGAAAAAAUAGGACGGCCAUGUUUCACGCUGUUGUCGUCGACAGGAGGAGAAUUAUGAGGAAUUCAGUUUAUCUCGUCGGAGAGUUGUCCCGAUUAUAUACCUCAGCAAUGCAGCCACCUAAACCCAUGCCUUCAAAGAGCUGAUGAAAAGUUAAUGCAGCUACAAGAGGCUUAAUUGUUUUGGGAGAUUCUGAGGCACCCAAAGAUACACCAAUUAUUACUGAAUGCACCAAAAUUCCCAAUUCCAAUACCUGUCACAUCAAUAAACAACUAAAUUUCAGUUUCAAAUGCAAAAAUUAAGUAAUUUUAUGAUUAUUAAUGAUGAGAAUCCACCUUUUGCAACUUGAAUUACAUAUUCCUUUGAGAUAACUUGUAAAUUCUAUCUCCACUUUCAAUAACACUUGGGGAAAUUUGCAGUUUUAGUCCCUUAAAUA